rnacentral:misc_RNA from 1 species
UCCGGCUUAUCACCGGCAGUCCCUCUAGAGUGCCCAACUUAAUGAUGGCAACUAAAGGCGAGGGUUGCGCUCGUUGCGGGACUUAACCCAACAUCUCACGACACGAGCUGACGACAGCCAUGCACCACCUAUCACAGGCCCCGAAGGACACCGUAUCUCUACGGCUUUUCCUGCGUAGUUCAACCCAGGUAAGGUUCUUCGCGUUGCCUCGAAUUAAGCCACAUGCUCCGCCGCUUGUGCGGGCCCCCGUCAAUUCCUUUGGGUUUUAGCCUUGCGGCCGUACUCCCCAGGCGGGGAUGACGUAAGGAAUGUCGAUA